UGGGGGAUAUUGCACAAUGGGCGAAAGCCUGCUGCAGCGACGCCGCGAGGGGGAUGAAGGCCUUCGGGUUGUAAACUUCUUUUGCUCUGAACAAGGCAUGCCUUUGGGGUGUGUUGAGUGUAGGGGUUGAUUAGCGCCGGCUAACUACGUGCCAGCAGCCGCGGUAAUACGUAGGGCGCGAGCGUUGUCCGGAAUUAUUGGGCGUAAAGGGCUUGUAGGUGGCUGGUUGCGUCUGUCGUGAAAGCUCAUGGCUUAACUGUGGGUUUGCGGUGGGGACGGGCUGGCUUGAGUGCAGUAGGGGAGGCUGGAAUUCCUGGUGUAGCGGUGGAAUGCGCAGAUAUCAGGAGGAAUACCGGUGGCGAAGGCGGGUCUCUGGGCUGUUACUGACGCUGAGGAGCGAAAGCGUGGGGAGCGAACAGG
rnacentral:rRNA from 1 species